CGAGUAAGUCAGAUGGUCGCGGGGGCCCAAUUGGGCCAACGAGGAAAGUCCGAGCUCCAUAGGGCAAAGGUGCCGGGUAAUACCCGGUGGAGGCGACUCCAAGGAUAGUGCAACAGAAAUAAACCGCCCAGCACUUAACUAAGCAUAGCAGUACAGCUAGUCUUCAUUAAUCCGACGUUUUGGGGUAGUGAAAAACGGAUUGCUGUGUUCGGUUAAGUGCUGGGCAAGGGUGGAAAGGUGAGGUAAGAGCUCACCAGCGUGCUGGCGACUGCACGGCUCUGUAAACCCCACCUGGAGCAAGACCAAGCAGGGACGAAAAAAGCGGCG
rnacentral:RNase_P_RNA from 1 species